rnacentral:rRNA from 1 species
GACGAACGCUGGCGGCAUGCCUAAUACAUGCAAGUCGAACGAUGAUAUCACUGCUUGCAGUGAUUGAUAAUUGCGAAAGGGGGAGUAAAAAGGGAGGGAAUUGGCCAAGAAGGGGGGACAACAUUCGGAAACGGAAGCUAAAAACCCCAAAGGGGAAUGGUUGGAUGACGAAAUUAAUAAAAGUUGGCCUGCCUCCAACUAUGGGUAGGCUCGCGGGGUAUUAGCUAGUUGGUAAGGUAAUGGCUUACCAAGGCAGUGAUACGUAGCCGACUUGAGAGGGUGAUCGGCCACACUGGGACUGAGACACGGCCCAGACUCCUACGGGAGGCAGCAGUAGGGAAUCUUCCACAAUGGGUGCAAACCUGAUGGAGCAAUGCCGCGUGAGUGAAGAAGGUCUUCGGAUCGUAAAGCUCUGUUGUUAGAGAAGAACACGUGCUAGGUAACUACUAGCGCCUUGACGGUAUCUAACCAGAAAGACACGGCUAACUACGUG